UACGAAGGGGGCUAGCGUUGCUCGGAAUCACUGGGCGUAAAGCGCACGUAGGCGGACUCUUAAGUCGGUGGUGAAAUCCUGGAGCUCAACUCCAGAACUGCCUUCGAUACUGAGAGUCUUGAGUCCGGGGAGAGGUGAGUGGAACUGCGAGUGUAGAGGUGAAAUUCGUAGAUAUUCGCAAGAACACCAGUGGCGAAGGCGGCUCACUGGCCCGGUACUGACGCUGAGGUGCGAAAGCGUGGGGAGCAAACAGGG
rnacentral:rRNA from 1 species